GUGGCUUGGGACCGUGUGGAGAGUGCGGGCGCUGGACAGCAGCUCCGGCCCCUCACCGACGCGCAGCCCGCGCCUGGGCCGACCUGUUGACUGAAAAUCAGCCGGCGCUUGGCCAGAUGCGUCGAUGGAGGCCCGCAGCCCAGCGACGACGUGGUAGUCAUGGCUGAAGCGGCGCCUGCCCCGCCAAAUGCAGAGAAGAGCUCAUACCUCUAUUCCAUAGAAAUCACACUGUGGACCGUGGUGCCUGCUGUUCAGGCCUUGGAGAAGAAAAGUGGAUUCUUGCCUGGCCCGCUUGCUGACUCUGGAGGGAUGCUCAGGGACAGCAGAGAAGAAGCUGGCUGACUGUGAGAAGACAGCUGUGGAGUUCAGCAGCCAGCUGGAGGGCAAGUUGGCCGUGCUGGGGACCCUGCCUCAGGAGUCUAGGCUGCUGCAUGAAGAACCUCAUGGGCAACUGGAACUUCUGGGUCCAGCGGCUUCCCCCUGGCAACAAGGGGGAGGUCCCCAAGAGUGGGCCAAGCUGGAGGACUGGCAGAAGAGGCUCGACAAGCAUGUGAUGGGGGCAGCUAUGAGAUGCUCGUUUCCCUGGAUUAUGCCAUCUCCAAACCGGUCAUUCUCACCCAGAUAGAGAGGGGAGAAGAGCCUUGUCCUGCAGGCCCCUGGGGCCAGGAGAAGGGGGGUGAGGAGAAGACAAUAUGUCAAAGGAAACCAAACACCAGUAUUUCUCUGAGUCCAGAGCAGGCCCCAAGUCCAGCUAGCCCUGCCCAGGAGGAACUGAAUCAAAGGCAGACACCUGAGCAGCAGCAAGAGGAAGCAACCAUGAUUCCACCUGAGCCAGGCACUGGGAUUCCAGCAAGCACCAGCCCUUUAUCACUUAAACAGGAGGAAGAAUCUGCAGAGGGAGGAGAGUUGCCACCCUCCCCUUCCACAGAUAGCCUGCUUUCUGUGGAGCCAGGGAAGUCCAGCCCUGCAAGGGCCCAGCUCUGAACAGGACAGGACCUGCACUGUCUCAGGGCCUUUCCCUUGUGCCUGCCAAGUGGUGGAAGUUCCUUCACUUUCCAGCUGAGUUGGUACUUUAGGGGCCCUUCAAAAGCACAAGCUCCAGACCAGGAAUUUGAGGUGAUAGUGUCAUGCCUCAAAGUCAUGAGAGCGGGUGCUUCAUGUGCCUCUUUGUCACAGCACCUUGGGGACAGCCUUGUGGAGCUUCUGGAGCUGGGUGAUGGAUUCCAAUUCUGAUAGUUUGCUCUCUUGUUUGGCACUCAGACACCAGAGCACAUGAAGGCUCCCAGGUGCCUUCAUCCCUGGCUGUGCUAUUGCUAAAGUCCUGCAGACUCUGUAGCCACUCAGAAGUCCUGCACAGACGAGGCAGAGGGUGACACUGCCGUCAUUCCCAGGGUAGGGGUAUGACUGGCAAGACUGUGGCAUGCAGCCAUGGUUCUGGACGUUACUUGCCUGCACACCCAACCGUUGUUUAGGCCCUGCAAGCAAGACAGCAGUUGUCAGUAAGCGCUCAGACUGAACGUGGACAGUAUAGCUGCCCCAAACUUAAUCCUCCGCUGCAAGCACUCAUGUUGCUGUUCUGGGGGUUCCUAGGCCUCUCUUCUAAUGCUUUAGAUGUUCUCUGGAAAACAAGUAUUCAUAUUUGAAGCACAAAUCCAAGUGCUGGGGUGGGGGAAGAGGCGCUGUAUAAUCCUGGCUCGCCUUGGGCUUGCAGUGAAUUUUUUUCCCCUACCUCUAUCUACCUACUAGGAUUUCCUUGCUUGUGCCAUUAUGCACAACUGGGCUUACUGCAUUUAACCUGAAAUUCAAUAGGACAGGUUAAAGAGUAUUUUGAGUUAAGAAUGAACAAAGGCUGCAUGGUUGCCUGAGCUCAAAGACGUUGGAUCCCAGAUUCUGAUGACUUAUUUUGUAAAACAAAGAUAUGGUUGGGUUGGUUACAAGGCCCUAAGAACCAUGGAGGUGGAAAUAUUAACUUAAUCGGUGCUCUAUAAAUACACUGGAAAAUGUA
rnacentral:lncRNA from 1 species